rnacentral:rRNA from 1 species
AUACGGAGGGUGCAAGCGUUAAUCGGAAUUACUGGGCGUAAAGCGUACGUAGGCGGUUCGUUAAGUUAGAUGUGAAAGCCCCGGGCUUAACCUGGGAACUGCAUUUAAAACUGGCGGACUAGAGUUGAGUAGAGGGGAGUGGAAUUUCAGGUGUAGCGGUGAAAUGAGUAGAGAUCUGAAGGAACACCAGUGGCGAAGGCGACUCCCUGGACUCGAACUGACGCUGAGGUACGAAAGCGUGGGUAGCAAACGGGAUUAGAAACCCGAGUAGUCC